rnacentral:misc_RNA from 1 species
CAUUAGAGGGUCGCGAGGCCUCCUAAUCUCUUCAACCAACCCGCGUACCACCCGAGGGGGCCCGCAAGGGCCACUACAGACUGCCUCGGUCGGCGGCCCCAGGGGGGGCCUCUGCCCGCGUCCGGCGCGUGAUUGCCCGGCGCGGGUGCCGGCCGGUGGCCCAAACCAAACCUACCGUAUAAUACCUAUUACCUUCUGAAGAAAUGAGAAAUCAUUACAACCUGCAACGAUGGAUCUCUUGGCUCUGGCAUCGAUGAAGAACGCAGCGAAAUGCGAUACGUAAUGUGAAUUGCAGAUCUCUCAGUGAACCAUCGAAUUUUUGAACGCACAUAGCGCCCGCCGGUCAUUCCGGCGGGCAUGCCUGUCCGAGCGUCGAUGACGCCGCUCGAGCCCCCGUGCUCGGUGUUGGGGCGCUAGGUCUCCCAGAGGCCUAGGCCCCCAAGUAGCAGUGCGCGGUCCGGCUGCGGGCCCCGGGUAUAGUAACUUCACCGUUGAGAUGCCCUGGGACUCGCUGGCCGGGUCAGCCGUAAAACCCCCGACAUAGGCCUCCCCCGCCCGCCCCCGGGUGACGGAAGACCGCCUUAUGUUGACCUCGGAUCAGGUAGGACUACCCGCUGAACUUAAGCAUAUCAAUAAGCGGAGGAAAGGGCGAAUUCGCGGCCGCUAAAUUCAAUUCGCC